UUCUGUAAUGCUGCAGGUGGCGUUGGCAGAAGGAACGUGACAUGGUUGUAUUGUUGUUUGCAUUCGUUGACUACUGCGCACCUUGCGACGUCACACCAUUGACGUUGCUGAAGCGGUAGCUGCGUCGUAAUUUUCAAACUCGGGGGCCAUCAAAGCACAUACGCACCAAAUAGCUAUAUAGCAGCAGAAAUCUGCGUCAGUGCACUUACAUCGCAAAAGGAGCUGUUCCAACUUUCAGCUGUUCAACCAGAGACCUCUUCAAACUGGUGUACACAGAACAACUCGAAGACUACAGCUAGAGUCGUUGCUGUUUGUGAAAUCUGCAUGUUUACAGUCGCGAUUAAACGUGGCCACGGGAACGUUGACGUCGACAGGCUUCGAUUUCAUUCAGCCAUGAUCCACGUAUGAUCUAGCGUAUGUUGUGCGCUGUGUCACAACGGAGACUGAAUGCGAACGUACUGGAUGGAUGCGAACGUACUCGGUGCUGCUUGCUGUUUUUUGACGUCUAAAGCGACUGCAGGCAGUCCAGAGUGAGCGAUAUCUGGAAGGGCUUGGAGUUGCAUGACGUCAUGGAAACAAGAUGAGUCGUCUUUCUGUGUUUGGGACAUGUGAAGAAGAUUGCAUAUAUUUGGAAGGUUGGAUCAAUGAAUGGCAUGUCAAAGUAGUGUCCUGCAAAAUCAUGCCACUAUUCAAGCUGCUAGUGCAACAGCUGUGACAUUUGUUUACCAGUUUACGAUGCUGUAUAAUUCAAUUCUAACCAGUUAUAGU